UACAGAGGGUGCAAACGUUGCUCGGAAUUACUGGGCGUAAAGGGCUCGUAGGCGGCCAACUAAGUCAGACGUGAAAUCCCUCGGCUUAACCGGGGAACUGCGUCUGAUACUGGAUGGCUUGAGUUUGGGAGAGGGAUGCGGAAUUCCAGGUGUAGCGGUGAAAUGCGUAGAUAUCGGAAGGAACAUCAGUGGCGAAAGCGACUUCCUGGACCAAUACUGACGCUCAUGUGCGAAAGCGUGGGGAGCAAACAGG
rnacentral:rRNA from 1 species